rnacentral:rRNA from 1 species
CCCUUAGAGUUUGAUCCUGGCUCAGGAUGAACGCUAGCUACAGGCUUAACACAUGCGAGUCGAGGGGAAACGACAUCGAAAGCUUGCUUUUGAUGGGCGUCGACCGGCGCACGGGUGAGUAACGCGUAUCCAAUCUGCCCAUCACUUGGGGAUAACCUUGCGAAAGUAAGACUAAUACCCAAUGAUAUCUCUAGAAGACAUCUGAAAGGGAUUAAAGAUUCAUCGGUGAUGGAUGGGGAUGCGUCUGAUUAGCUUGUUGGCGGGGUAACGGCCCACCAAGGCGACGAUCAGUAGGGGUUCUGAGAGGAAGGUCCCCCACAUUGGAACUGAGACACGGUCCAAACUCCUACGGGAGGCAGCAGUGAGGAAUAUUGGUCAAUGGGCGAGAGCCUGAACCAGCCAAGUAGCGUGCAGGAAGACGGCCCUAUGGGUUGUAAACUGCUUUUAUAAGGGAAUAAAGUGAGCCUCGUGA